rnacentral:rRNA from 1 species
UACGUAGGGUGCAAGCGUUGUCCGGAUUUACUGGGCGUAAAGAGCGCGUAGGCGGUCUGUUAAGUGUGAAGUGAAAUCUCCAGGGCUCAACCCGGAAACUGCUUUACAUACUGGCAGACUUGAGGUAUGCAGGGGAGAACGGAAUUCCUGGUGUAGCGGUGAAAUGCGCAGAUAUCAGGAGGAACACCGGUGGCGAAGGCGGGUCUCUGGGCCGA